rnacentral:rRNA from 1 species
UACGGGGGGGGCAAGCGUUGUUCGGAAUUACUGGGCGUAAAGGGCUCGUAGGCGGCCAACUAAGUCAGACGUGAAAUCCCUCGGCUUAACCGGGGAACUGCGUCUGAUACUGGAUGGCUAGAGAUUGGGAGAGGGAUGCGGAAUUCCAGGUGUAGCGGUGAAAUGCGUAGAUAUCUGGAGGAACACCGGUGGCGAAGGCGGCAUCCUGGACCAACGCUGACGCUGAGGAGCGAAAGCCAGGGGAGCAAACGGG